AUUGAACGCUGGCGGCAGGCUUAACACAUGCAAGUCGAGCGGAGCGAGGGUGCUUGCACCUUAGCUUAGCGGCGGACGGGUGAGUAAUGCUUAGGAAUCUACCUAUUAGUGGGGGACAACAUUCCGAAAGGAAUGCUAAUACCGCAUACGCCCUACGGGGGAACGCAGGGGAACUUCGGACCUUGCGCUAAUAGAUGAGCCUAAGUCGGAUUAGCUAGUUGGUGGGGUAAAGGCCUACCAAGGCGACGAUCUGUAGCGGGUCUGAGAGGAUGAUCCGCCACACUGGGACUGAGACACGGCCCAGACUCCUACGGGAGGCAGCAGUGGGGAAUAUUGGACAAUGGGCGGAAGCCUGAUCCAGCCAUGCCGCGCGUGUGAAGAAGGCCUUUUGGUUGUAAAGCACUUUAAGCGAGGAGGAGGCUCUUAAGGUUAAUACCCUUGAUGAGUGGACGUUACUCGCAGAAUAAGCACCGGCUAACUCUGUGCCAGCCGCCGCGGUAACAC
rnacentral:rRNA from 1 species